UGGAAGUUGAGCUUUUUUAGCAUUUCUCUAGUAGGUUUCCUCAAGGAGAAAGCCUCC
rnacentral:snRNA from 1 species